AUUUUGAAGAGGAAGAGUUGGGGGGUGCAGGAUGAAGCGUGAAACUUUUCAUGGACAUGAUAAGUAUCGGUUUAUCAAAUGUUGAUGUUAUGCAGAUAUCUGCUCACAAGUUGACUGAGUUUUUAAACAUUAUUCCAUUACGUCAGACAUUUGAUUAUUUUAGACAGAAUGGAGGAUGGAAGACAGAAGGAAUGGAGACAGAAGAUUUGGACCAAAAGAAGAGAAGACAGAAGAUUUGGACCAAAUGAAGAAAUGCUCAAAGUACUUCUUCCACCAGCUGCCUGUAAGAAUGACUCAUGCUUCUAUGGAGACUGCGUAGAAACAAUCAACAGCCACAGGUGUGCCUGCUUUGAAGGCUUUUACGGAGAGAAGUGUGACCAAGUUGUUCAGUGUAACAAGGAGGAGGUGACUGUCCCAUAUAAAGGACGUGUAAAUUGCACUCAUACCUAUGGGGACUUCUCCUAUGACUCCUUAUGUGAGUAUUCCUGUGAAGAAGGAUACCAGCUGAGUACACCAAGACCCCUGAGAUGCACCGCCUCGAAAAGGUGGUCAGAGCAGCCUCCUUCAUGUGAACUCGUUUCAGGAUCGACCUAGUAGCAAUAGAGAGACUGGAUAACAGAAUGACCCCUGCUGCCACACCUGAGGCAAUGGUAACAACCUGAGACGGGGCAGCUGUGGAAACAAUGUCAAAUGUGGGUAUCUCUCCAGUCCAGUUGCCGUGACGAUCACAGGUCAGCAACUCAUUGUCAGCUACCACCAACGAUCAACCAGCCCAGGAGUGAUCCCGCGAUGCAGCUCGGCCCACCUCAGUCAACUCAUCAUCCCUCUACUCCUGCUGCUGGUCGACACUGCGGUUACUCCAUUCCAUUAUCCUCCACUUACUUGUUAUCACUAUACUGCACUGUGUAUAAUUAAAUCACUGCUUGCACUGAAGUCGGCUACCUGGGUCCGCCUCACUUUUUCCACUCCCUCACUUCUGUGUGUGAGCGUAUUCUAACACUCAUGCCCAUCU